rnacentral:siRNA from 1 species
ACGGAGAUGUGAUUGAUUGUA